rnacentral:rRNA from 1 species
UACAGGGGGUGCAAACGUUGCUCGGAAUUAUUGGGCGCAAAGCGCGCGUAGGCGGCCACUUAAGUCGGAUGUGAAAGCCCCUGGCUCAACUGGGGAAGUGCACCCGAAACUGAAUGGCUUGAAUGCAAAAGAGGGUCGCGGAAUUCCCGGUGUAGAGGUGAAAUUCGUAGAUAUCGGGAGGAACACCGGUGGCGAAGGCGGCCCCCUGGUUGGAUACUGACGCUGAGACGCGAAAGCGUGGGGAGCAAACAGG